CGGGACACGUGGUAUCCUGUCUGAAUAUGGGGGGACCAUCCUCCAAGGCUAAAUACUCCUGACUGACCGAUAGUGAACCAGUACCGUGAGGGAAAGGCGAAAAGAACCCCGGCGAGGGGAGUGAAAAAGAACCUGAAACCGUGUACGUACAAGCAGUGGGAGCACGCUUAGGCGUGUGACUGCGUACCUUUUGUAUAAUGGGUCAGCGACUUAUAUUCUGUAGCAAGGUUAACCGAAUAGGGGAGCCGAAGGGAAACCGAGUCUUAACUGGGCGUUAAGUUGCAGGGUAUAGACCCGAAACCCGGUGAUCUAGCCAUGGGCAGGUUGAAGGUUGGGUAACACUAACUGGAGGACCGAACCGACUAAUGUUGAAAAAUUAGCGGAUGACUUGUGGCUGGGGGUGAAAGGCCAAUCAAACCGGGAGAUAGCUGGUUCUCCCCGAAAGCUAUUUAGGUAGCGCCUCGUGAAUUCAUCUCCGGGGGUAGAGCACUGUUUCGGCAAGGGGGUCAUCCCGACUUACCAACCCGAUGCAAACUGCGAAUACCGGAGAAUGUUAUCACGGGAGACACACGGCGGGUGCUAACGUCCGUCG
rnacentral:rRNA from 1 species